rnacentral:rRNA from 1 species
GGAGAAAAGUAGGGGAUCGAAAGACCUUGCGCUUAAGGAGCGGCCGAUGUCUGAUUAGCUAGUUGGUGGGGUAAAGGCCUACCAAGGCGACGAUCAGUAGUUGGUCUGAGAGGACGACCAACCACACUGGGACUGAGACACGGCCCAGACUCCUACGGGAGGCAGCAGUGGGGAAUUUUGGACAAUGGGCGCAAGCCUGAUCCAGCCAUGCCGCGUGAGUGAAGAAGGCCUUCGGGUUGUAAAGCUCUUUCAGUUGGGAAGAAACGAUUGCAACUAAUAAUUGUAAUUAAUGACGGUACCGACAGAAGAAGCACCGGCUAACUACGUGCCAGCAGCCGCGGUAAUACGUAGGGUGCGAGCGUUAAUCGGAAUUACUGGGCGUAAAGGGUGCGCAGGCGGUUUUGUAAGUCAGAUGUGAAAUCCC